rnacentral:rRNA from 1 species
AUUGAACGCUGGCGGAAUGCUUUACACAUGCAAGUCGAACGGUAGAGGGGGCAACCCCUCGAGAGUGGCGAACGGGUGAGUAAUAUAUCGGAACGUGCCCAGUCGUGGGGGAUAACGUAGCGAAAGUUACGCUAAUACCGCAUACGAUCUACGGAUGAAAGCGGGGGACUCGCAAGAGCCUCGCGCGAUUGGAGCGGCCGAUAUCAGAUUAGGUAGUUGGUGGGGUAAAGGCUCACCAAGCCAACGAUCUGUAGCUGGUCUGAGAGGACGACCAGCCACACUGGAACUGAGACACGGUCCAGACUCCUACGGGAGGCAGCAGUGGGGAAUUUUGGACAAUGGACGCAAGUCUGAUCCAGCCAUUCCGCGUGCAGGAUGAAGGCCCUCGGGUUGUAAACUGCUUUUGUACGGAACGAAAAGGUCUCUAUUAAUACUGGGGGCUCAUGACGGUACCGUAAGAAUAAGCACCGGCUAACUACGUG